GCAACAAGCAGCGGAGCGUGUGGUUUAAUUCGAUGUUACACGAAGAACCUUUACCGAGGGUUUGACAUGCAAGUGGUAGGAAGCCGAAAGGUGACCGACCCUUCGGGGAGCUUGCACAGGUGCUGCAUGGCUGUCGUCAGCUCGUGUCGUGAGAUGUUCGGUUAAGUCCGCUAACGAGCGCAACCCUCGCUGUGUGUUAUAUGUGUCACACAAUACCGCCGGUAUUAAGCCGGAGGAAGGUGCGGAUGACGUCAAGUCAGCAUGACCUUUAUAUCCAGGGCUACACACACGCUACAAUGGACAGUACAACAGGUUGCCAAGCCGCGAGGCGGAGCCAAUCCUCUAAAGCUGUCCUCAGUUCAGAUUGCAGGCUGCAACUCGCCUGCAUGAAGUUGGAGUUGCUAGUAACCGCAGGUCAGCUAUACUGCGGUGAAUACGUUCCCGGGGCUU
rnacentral:rRNA from 1 species